AUUGAACGCUGGCGGCAGGCUUUACACAUGCAAGUCGGACGAGUGGCGGACGGGUGAGUAAUAUAUUGGAACGUACCGAGUAAUGGGGGAUAACUAAUGGAAAGAUUGGCUAAUACCGCAUACUAUUGGAUAGGCCCAUAUGGGAUUAGCUAGUUGGUGGGGUAAAGGCCCACCAAGGCGACGAUCCGUAGCGGGUCUGAGAGGAUGACCAGCCACACUGGAACGGAGACACGGCCCAGACUCCUACGGGCGGCAGCAGUGGGGAAUUUUGGACAAUGGGCGCAAGCCUGAUGCAGCCAUGCCGCGUGUAUGAAGAAGGCCUUCGGGUUGUAAAGUACUUUUGUUAGGGAGGCGGUACCUAAAGAAUAAGCACCGGCUAACUACGUGCCAGCAGCCGCGGUAAUUC
rnacentral:rRNA from 1 species